GGGGUGCCUGUGGCACUGCAGAAAGUGGGCCUGAGCCUCGAGGAUGGCGGUGCUGCAGGGACCCGUCCAGGCUGCUAUAUGGCAAGCACUAAACCACUAUGCCUACCGAGAUGCGGUUUCCCCCGCAGAACGCCUUUAUGCAGAAGUACACUCAGAAGAAGCCUUGUUCUUACUGGCGACCUGUUCUUACCGCUCAGGAAAGGCCUAUAAAACAUAUAGACUCUUGAAAGGACACAGUUGUACUACCCCGCAAUGCAAAUGCCUGCUUGCGAAAUGUUGUGUUGAUCUCAGCAAGCUUGCAGAAGGGGAUCAAAUCUUAUCGGGUGGAGUGUUUCAUAAGCAGAAAAGCCACGAUGAUAUUAUCGUUCCUGAGUUUGGUGAUUCAGCUCGCUUUCCCCUUCCAUCGUCGGGACAUGUAUAUUGCAAGACAGAUCGGCUUACCAAAGGAUCAGAAUGUGACCAAAAGAGCCUUCGUUGAAAUCCUUUCCUCUGGUGUCCCUUUGAAUCAUGAUGUGAAAUAGGGGGGAAAAGCCAGAUCCUGACCAAACAUUUUGAUUCACCUCUCUAGAGAGCUUUAGCAACUGCCUGUCCAAGUGUUGCGCCACAACACUUGGACCUCGUCCUAGUUUAUGUCACAGACAGCCCGAGACCGUUCUUACGGAAACACCCCAGGACACCGUCGAAUGAAACGGAUGGAAUUUAGAAUCUUCCAAUUCAAAGUACUCCUUGAAUACAGACUCCCCAGUGUCUUCUAUCGAUUCAGCUGUCCUUUCACCUGAUACUGUCCCACUGGGAACAGGAACUUCCAUAUGAUCUAAACAGGUUCAACAUAAACCAAAAACUGGUCGAAGUUUAUUAGGAGGACCAGCAGCUGUUAGUCCAUUAACCCCAAGUGUUGGCAUUUUGCCAUUAGAAACCCCAAGUCCCGGAGACGGACCCUAUUGACAAAACUGCACUGGUAUGAGACACCGUCUGUCAUUGACGUGCCAUCCACCGGAGCCCCUUCAAAAAAGCCUGUUGCCAGAAUCGGCCAAACCGGAACACCGUCUGUCUUCUCGCAGAGGGGAAAGAGCCGAAAGGUAACUCCAGUCCUUGCAAAAACACAAAGUUCUGGUCCGCCGACAAGGGCAACACCUCAGGUAUUGAGCCCCACUAUGGCAUCUCCCCCAAAUGCACCGCCUCGAAGAAAUUCACGACUCUUGACUAGUGACAGCUCCACAACCGAGGAGAAUAGGAGAAAAUUAAAAAUGAAGUUUCCACCUAAAAUCCCAAACAGAAGAACCAAAAGUAAAACUAAUAAAGGAGCAAUAACUCCACCGAACAUAAGUGAUAGCCUGGAAGUGACAAAAUUGGACUCUUCCGUCAUUUCAGAAGGGAAAAUAGCCACAAUCGCGCCUCAGAUUCAGGCUUUUAAUCUACAAAAAGCAGCAGCGGAAGGCUUGAUGAGCCUUCUUCGUGAAAGGGGGAAAGGUUAUUUAGCUUUGUGUUCUUACCACGGCAAAGAAGCUAUCAGCAUCUUGAGCCAUCUAGCUUCUCACCACUGCAAUACCGGUUGGGUACUGUGCCAAAUCGGAAGGGCCUAUUGUAAACUUUCAGAGUCCACGCAAGCUGAAAGACAAUUCUCAGAGGUUAGGAGGAUUGAGAAUUACAGAGUCGAAGGCAUGGAGAUCUACUCUACAACACUUUGGCAUCCUCCGAAAGAGGUUGCUCUUUCAGUUCUGUCCAAAGACUUCACAGACAUGGAUAAAAAUUCGCCAGCCAGAGGCCUGGUGUGCUGCAGGGAACUGUUUCGGUCUGCAACGGGAACACGAUAUUGCGAUUCAAUUCUUCCAGAGAACUCUCGAAGUGGAUCCAAAUGAUGCUUAUGCCUAUAGCGCAUUAGGGCGUGAGCUUGUCUUCACUGAAGAACUGGACAAAGCAUUAGCUUGUUUUCGAAAUGCUAUCAGGGUCAAUCCUAGACAUUGUAAGGCAUGGUAAGUGCUAAUGAAGCGUAAAGACAAAGCCCUAUGGAUGGUGCCGGUACUCGCUAAUUUUUCUGGUUAGAUAGCUCUUUAUUGUCACGAAUUUGGUGAAAAAUACUUAGGGAUGGUACCUACUGCUGAAUAACUUCUAACUAAGAUGUUUCCUUACGAAACGUAUGUCUUGAACAAACUCUGAAGUGAACUCAUGAUCGUAGAAUACCAGAUCCUUAUACUCAACAGUUUCAGUCUUCUAGCAAACUUUUGCAGACGCUGUAGUUGUCUUUGGUUUGUGUGUGUGUUUCUUUAGUUGUGUUCCUUGAUUUGUUACUUUUUCUUCGAGCACCGAAGUGGUGAUGGGGACAAGAAGUGCUUGGGAGACUGGAAAGGAAUAGCAUAGUUCACUUAUUGGAUAAUAGAAAAAUACAUGGAAACAAUUCACUAGCUGCUGCUUUUUGACAGUGUUCCAGUUUACGGAGUUACUAUGAAGAACUUCACGUACCCUUUAAUUUAGCAGUCUCUCUGUUUUACUCUUUUGUACUCGUGUAUAAGUAGGCACAUAGGAAAUUACUACCUAGGUCAUAUUGUUAUCAACUGAAUAAGAUAGGAAAAAGUGUGGUCCUACUUCUGCCUCAACACCAUCCUCACCGUUGACAUUUAUUGCGUUUCUCUGGACUGACUUCAUAGUUUAAACGUCAAGAGAAGGCCGGGCUCAGUGGCUCACGCCUGUCAUCCCAGCACUUUGGGAGGCCGAGGCGGGCGGGUCACGAGGUCAAGAGAUCGAGACCAUCCGGGCCGACACGGUGAAACCCCGUCUCUAUUAAAAGUAUAAAGAUUAGCUGGGCGUGGUGGCGGGCACCUGUAGUCCCAGCUACUCGGGAGGCUGAGGCAGGAGAAUCGCUUGAACCCAGGGAGGUGGCGGUUGCAGUGAGCCGAGAUCACACCAUCGCACUCCAGCCUGGGCGACAGAGCGAGACGCCGUCUCAAGAGAAAUAAAUUAAAAAAAAUAAAUACAUACAUAAGUAAAUAUCAAGAGAAAGUAUGAUUCUGAAGUCAUAACCCUGUGGUAGUUAUUUUGUCAGAUACGGUGAUCUUUGGGGUGACUUAUUACAGCAGUGGAGUUCUAUCAUUUGAUUUGCUUCUAAAUCUGAAGCAUUAUAUUACUGAAACACUUUUUGAUUUGCGAAUAUGUUGUUUAAUGGAUCAUAUCUCAUUUUGCUGUAGUAGUUACAUUGCCCGAAAGAUGGCCAAAAAGAUAGUGCCAGCUACUGCUGACCAACGUAACAAUCAACUUGCCAAUACUGCCUUCUCUUCCGAUAGCUACGUUCUCCGUCCUAUUUUAAGAACUCAGUUCUUCAUAAGACUUGUGUGGUUUUCGAUUUUUUCCCAAGUCUGGUUGAUCCUUGUGUUGUUAUUUUUUUAAAUGUGUAUCGUCUGUUCAGCUAUUUUGCAGGAGUCGCAUUCUUAAAAAAAUCUUAACCCUAUCAAAAAUUGUGUUUGUUUAAAGGAGGAUUAUUCAGAUUGGCCAGCUUUUACUAGGAAGAGUGUAAAUGCUGACGUAUUUAGGUAGCUCUAAAUACUGAGCAACUUUAUUCUAACCACAAAAUAGAUAGCCUUUCUUUUGUCUUCACUUUCACUAUCAUUAGCACAGUGUUUAAUACCGUUUCUUCAUCUAUAACACAAUUAUAAUGAUAUAGGAAGCCACUCAAAUAAGGCAGACAUGUUGCGUUGCGCUUAAAAAAAAAAAAAAAAAGAAGUCUCUCUGUGGCACGGAAUGAGGUGUGGCUCGAAUCUAGAAUCUCCAGUGAAAACCAAUGAAAGAGGGUGAAACCCCGUGUCUACCAAAAAAAAAAAAAAAAAAAAAAAAAAAAAAAAAAAAAAAAAAA